rnacentral:snRNA from 1 species
AAAAACCCUCGGCCUUUUGGCUAAGAUCAAGUGUAGUAUCUGUUCUUAUCAGACUCUUGAUUUUUAAUUAAUAACCACACUUAGACUAAACACAUCUUAACAGAGAUAUUAUUU